GCAGUCGAGCGGAUCGAUGGGAGCUUGCUCCCUGAGAUCAGCGGCGGACGGGUGAGUAACACGUGGGUAACCUGCCUGUAAGACUGGGAUAACUCCGGGAAACCGGGGCUAAUACCGGAUAACACCUACCCCCGCAUGGGGGAAGGUUGAAAGGUGGCUUCGGCUAUCACUUACAGAUGGACCCGCGGCGCAUUAGCUAGUUGGUGAGGUAAUGGCUCACCAAGGCGACGAUGCGUAGCCCACCUGAGAGGGUGAUCGGCCACACUGGGACUGAAACACGGCCCACACUCCUACGGGAGGCAGCAGUAGGGAAUCUUCCGCAAUGGACAAAAGUCUGACGGAGCAACCCCGCGUGAGUGAAAAAGGUUUUCGGAUCAUAAAACUCUGUUGUUAGGGAAGAACAAGUGCCGUUCAAAUAGGGCGGCGCCUUGACGGUACCUAACCAGAAAGCCACGGCUAACUACGUGCCAGCAGCCGCGGUAAUACGUAGGUGGCAAGCGUUGUCCGGAAUUAUUGGGCGUAAAGCGCGCGCAGGUGGUUUCUUAAGUCUGAUGUGAAAGCCCACGGCUCAACCGUGGAGGGUCAUUGGAAACUGGGGAACUUGAGUGCAGAAGAGGAAAGUGGAAUUCCAAGUGUAGCGGUGAAAUGCGUAGAUAUUUGGAGGAACACCAGUGGCGAAGGCGACUUUCUGGUCUGUAACUGACACUGAGGCGCGAAAGCGUGGGGGAGCAAACAGGAUUAGAUACCCUGGUAGUCCACGCCGUAAACGAUGAGUGCUAAGUGUUAGAGGGUUUCCGCCCUUUAGUGCUGCAGCUAACGCAUUAAGCACUCCGCCUGGGGAGUACGGUCGCAAGACUGAAACUCAAAGGAAUUUGACGGGGGCCCGCACAAGCGGUGGAGCAUGUGGUUUAAUUCGAAGCAACGCGAAGAACCUUACCAGGUCUUGACAUCCUCUGACAACCCUAGAGAUAGGGCUUUCCCCUUCGGGGGACAGAGUGACAGGUGGUGCAUGGUUGUCGUCAGCUCGUGUCGUGAGAUGUUGGGUUAAGUCCCGCAACGAGCGCAACCCUUGAUCUUAGUUGCCAGCAUUCAGUUGGGCACUCUAAGAUGACUGCCGGUGACAAACCGGAGGAAGGUGGGGAUGACGUCAAAUCAUCAUGCCCCUUAUGACCUGGGCUACACACGUGCUACAAUGGACGGUACAAAGGGCUGCAAGACCGCGAGGUUUAGCCAAUCCCAUAAAACCGUUCUCAGUUCGGAUUGUAGGCUGCAACUCGCCUACAUGAAGCUGGAAUCGCUAGUAAUCGCGGAUCAGCAUGCCGCGGUGAAUACGUUCCCGGGCCUUG
rnacentral:rRNA from 2 species